rnacentral:tRNA from 13 species
GCCUCGGUAGCGCAGUAGGCAGCGCGUCAGUCUCAUAAUCCCCUCUCUUGAGGAAUCUGAAGGUCGUGAGUUCGAUCCUCACCCGGGGCA